rnacentral:rRNA from 1 species
GAUGAACGCUGGCGGCGUGCCUAAUACAUGCAAGUCGAGCGAACAGACGAGGAUCUUGCUCCUGUGACGUGAGCGGCGGACGGGUGAGUAACACGUGGAUAACCUACCUAUAAGACUGGGAUAACGUCGGGAAACCGGAUCUAAUACCGGAUAAUAUAUUGAACCGCAUGGUUCAAUAGUGAAAGACGGUUUUGCUGUCACUUAUAGAUGGAUCCGCGCCGCAUUAGCUAGUUGGUAAGGUAACGGCUUACCAAGGCAACGAUGCGUAGCCGACCUGAGAGGGUGAUCGGCCACACUGGAACUGAGACACGGUCCAGACUCCUACGGGAGGCAGCAGUAGGGAAUUUUGCGCAAAGGGCGAAAGCCUGACGGAGCAACGCCGCGUGAGUGAUGAAGGUCUUCGGAUCGUAAAACUCUGUUAUUAGGGAAGAACAAAUGUGUAAGUAACUAUGCACGUCUUGACGGUACCUAAUCAGAAAGCCACGGCUAACUACGUG